rnacentral:rRNA from 1 species
AACGAACGCUGGCGGCAUGCCUAACACAUGCAAGUCGAACGAGACCUUCGGGUCUAGUGGCGCACGGGUGCGUAACGCGUGGGAACCUGCCCUUAGGUUCGGAAUAACUCCCCGAAAGGGGUGCUAAUACCGGAUAAUGUCUUCGGACCAAAGAUUUAUCGCCUUUGGAUGGGCCCGCGUUGGAUUAGCUAGUUGGUAGUGUAAAAGCCUACCAAGGCGACGAUCCAUAGCUGGUCUGUGAGGAUGAUCAGCCACACUGGGACUGAGACACGGCCCAGACUCCUACGGGAGGCAGCGGUGGGGAAUAUUGGACAAUGGGCGAUAGCCUGAUCCAGCAAUGCCGCGUGAGUGGUGAAGGCCUUAGGGUUGUAAAGCUCUGUUACCCGGGAUGAUAAUGACAGUACCGGGGGAAUAAGCUCCGGCUAACUCCGUG